GUCCUUUUCUGGUUCAUAAGCAUGAUGAUUGGGUUCUCACACAAUUGCAUGACAACUGCCUCCUUAUAAACCUUGUUAUUAUGUGGGCACAUUACUUGUCUGAUG